rnacentral:rRNA from 1 species
CCUACGGGUGGCAGCAGUAGGGAAUAUUGCUCAAUGGGGGAAACCCUGAAGCAGCAACGCCGCGUGGAGGAUGAAGGUCUUCGGAUUGUUAACUCCUUUUUUUAGAGAAGAUAAUGACGGUAUCUAACGAAUAAGCACCGUCUAACUCCGUGCCAGCAGCCGCGGUAAUACGGCGGGUGCAAGCGUUACUCGGAAUCACUGGGCGUAAAGAGCGCGUAGGCGGGAUAGCAAGUCAGAUGUGAAAUCCUAUGGCUUAACCAUAGAACUGCAUUUGAAACUGUUAUUCUAGAGUAUGGGAGAGGUAUGUGGAAUUCUUGGUGUAGGGGUGAAAUGCGUAGAGAUCACGAAGAAUACUCAUUGCGAAGGCGGCCUGCUAGAACAUAACUGACGCUGAUGCGCGAAAGUGUGGGGAGCGAACAGGAUUAGAUACCCGAGUAGUC